AGUUCGGACUGUAGUCUGCAACCCGACUACACGAAGCUGGAAUCGCUAGUAAUCGCGGAUCAGAAUGCCGCGGUGAAUACGUUCCCGGGUCUUGUACACACCGCCCGUCACACCAUGGGAGUCAGUAACGCCCAAAGUCGGUGGCCUAACCUUUAUGGAGGGAGCCGCCUAAGGCGGGACAGAUGACUGGGGUGAAGUCGUAACAAGGUAAC
rnacentral:rRNA from 1 species